rnacentral:ncRNA from 2 species
UGUGACCCAUAUUAGUAAUAAUAUGCGGAAAAAUCGGAUGAAUUGCUGGAAAGCUUCGUUUCAUUAGAAACAUGCCAAUCAGCAGCCAAGCCUAGUAAGCGUACUAGGAAGGUUCAGAGACUAGAUGGCUCAGCACGAACUUGCUGUGUAAUACAUCAUUAGCGUCCGACACCCUAACGUUUACGUGGGUGAUGAUAUAGUCCAGCCCUUUGCGAAAGCAUUGG